rnacentral:rRNA from 1 species
AGUGAACGCUGGCGGUAGGCCUAACACAUGCAAGUCGAACGGCAGCACAGGAGAGCUUGCUCUCUGGGUGGCGAGUGGCGGACGGGUGAGGAAUACAUCGGAAUCUGCCCAGUCGUGGGGGAUAACGUAGGGAAACUUACGCUAAUACCGCAUACGACCUUCGGGUGAAAGAGGGGGAUCGCAAGACCUCUCGCGAUUGGAUGAGCCGAUGUCGGAUUAGCUAGUUGGCGGGGUAAUGGCCCACCAAGGCGACGAUCCGUAGCUGGUCUGAGAGGAUGAUCAGCCACACUGGAACUGAGACACGGUCCAGACUCCUACGGGAGGCAGCAGUGGGGAAUAUUGGUCAAUGGGCGCAAGCCUGAUCCAGCCAUACCGCGUGGGUGAAGAAGGCCUUCGGGUUGUAAAGCCCUUUUGUUGGGAAAGAAAUCUUUCAGGCUAAUACCCUGGGAGGAUGACGGUACCCAAAGAAUAAGCACCGGCUAACUUCGUG